UCGUGCUAGGCGGGGUGCUAGCGGUGCCCUUUUCCCGCAAUCCGCUAUAGCGGGGUCGAAUUCCCACCUUCGGGCGUCCGGGGUCGAUGCGCGCGGCUGCGGAAGUGGUGACGACGGCCAGGUCCCGCGCAAUGGUCACCCGCGAACCCCGUCAGGACCGGAAGGUAGCAGCGGUAAGCGGACCCGGCCAUGUGAUGUGGGGUUGCCUGGCAAGAGCUAACCCGGGGUCGCGCCGCGGUUCCGGCGUUCAACGGCGGGUGCACGA
rnacentral:SRP_RNA from 1 species